CCAGCUCCAAUAGCGUAUAUUAAAGUUGUUGCAGUUAAAAAGCUCGUAGUUGAACUUUCUGCUUAGAUUUAUUUCAACUCGUUGAAUAAAUCUUGGCAUACGUCUGCAAACUAAAAUCGGCCUUCACUGGUCCGACUUAGGGAGUAGACAUUUUACUGUGAAAAGAUUAGAGUGUUUCAGGCAGGUUUUAGCCCGUAUACAUUAGCAUGGAAUAAUGGAAUAGGACUAAGUCCAUUUUAUUGGUUAUUGGAUUUGGUAAUGAUUAAUAGGGACAGUUGGGGGCAUUAGUAUUUAAUAGUCAGAGGUGAAAUUCUUGGAUUUAUUAAGGACUAACUAAUGCGAAAGCAUUUGCCAAAGAUGUUUUCAUUAAUCAAGAACGAAAGUAAGGGGAUCAAAGACGAUCAGAUACCGUCGUAGUCUUAACUAUAAACUAUACCGACUCGGGAUCGGCUGGAAUAGAUGUCCAGUCGGCACCGUAUGAGAAAUCAAAGUCUUUGGGUUCUGGGGGAAGUAUGGUACGCAAGUCUGAAACUUAAAGGAAUUGACGGAACAGCACACCAGAAGUGGAACCUGCGGCUUAAUUCGACUCAAC
rnacentral:rRNA from 1 species